UCCCUGGAGCACGGUGUUCUGAAGACGGAAAUAUUUGAUUUCAGAAAUAAAAAGAUGUUUCCGUAAAAUCUCCUCAAGCCUCAAUUGUUGAAAGGAAUAUAUAACUUUCAGGGUAUAGACUCAAUACUGGAUUUUAGUCUAGAUAUAAUUCCCAGAACUUCAUAUCGGAGAGAAACUUAUAAGAUCGCCUCUGUGCCAGAUGAUAUCCUUCGUUGCCUACUACUGUUUUGUUAAAGAGGUUACAUGAUAACUUACUCUCUGCAUUUCUUUUGUUUUCACGUAAUAUGCAGUCAAGAAAGAAGUGAGAUAUGUAAAGAAAACCCCCAAUAGGUCAUAUACAAGAAGGCAGAAGCUUAGUAAAAAAACAACAACAAAGACAUGUUGAGGAAACAAAUUGGAAUCUGGGUGAGAUAGCAGGUUCUGACAACAGUAGGAGAACUGCCAGAUGUGGAAACUAUACUGGAAAAGGCUGGGCCUGGAGUGUGGGUGUUACAUAGAAGAGUGGCCGCGUGGAAGAAUCUCCAGGUUUGCCUUUUCAAGACUGUCCUAUUGUUAGAAGAAUACAAUUUUCGUAGCAUUCCUUUUUUUGCCUGUGGGCUUGUUAACAUGUCAUCUCUCUC